AGGUCAGUAGUUCAGUUGGUAGAGCGUCGGUCUCCAAAACCGAAUGUCGGGGGUUCGAGUCCCUCCUGGCCUGCCA
rnacentral:tRNA from 2 species